rnacentral:tRNA from 1 species
GCCCGCUUAGCUCAGCGGUUAGAGCAUCUGGCUGUUAACCAGAGGGUCGCAGGUUCGAAUCCUGCAGCGGGCGCAA